rnacentral:lncRNA from 1 species
CUGCGCUCCUUCCCCUGGCAGGGGGGCGGCGGGCGAGCGGAGAGGCCCGCGGGGCUCGCGGGAGUCCAGGGGCAGACGGGAUGGGUCUCCGUGCUGAAACCCCCGGCGCUCCUGCCACAGCUUAGAAGCAAAGUUAAGAGACUCAUCAGAUUCUGAGCUGCUGCGGGAUAUUUUGCAGAAGACUGUGAAGCAUCCUGUGUGUGUGUGAAGCACCCGCCGUCAGUCAAGAAAGCCCGGUGCUUUCUCUCAGAACUCAUCAAAAAGUAACCUGAAGCUUUCACCGUAGACGUGCUGUAUUGCCCAGAAGCCAUCGUGUCGCUGGUCGGGAUCCUGCGGAGGCUGGCUGCCUGCUGGGAGCACCAGCAGUCUCCUGAGGUCUACGUGGCCUUUACCGUCCACAACCCAGAGACGUGCCAGCUGUUCACCACCGAGCUAGGCCGGGCUGGGAUCAUAUGGGAAGCGGAAGCUCAUCAUGACCAGAAACUGUUUCCCUAUGGAGAGCACUUGGAGAUGGCAAUGCUGAACCUCACACUGUAGGACUCACACACGACUCCAACGGGAUUGUGAGAAUCAAGUCAAUCUCAUGGGAAGAAUUUUUAUAUGGGAAAGCGGAUAAAACUUUCAUUGUACUGGAAUGUUUGGAGAAUGUUAAAUUCCAAAUCAGAAACCACAAACUGCCCUCUAAUAAGACAUCGGCUAUCUAAGCGUGUGGGUGCCCCCUUUCUGCCAGCAGUUCUGGUUCUUACGAAAAUCACCAUAUAUCAGACAUGAAAAUUCUGG